rnacentral:tmRNA from 1 species
GGGGGUGUUUUGGCUUCGACGGGGUCGGGAAUGGAUAGAUUAGCAUACCGUGCACGCCUUUACUCACGUAAAUCAUAGGGCAAAACAAUAAAUGCAGAUAACUACGGUUACGCACUCGCCGCUUAAUUAGCCACGAGCGCCAAUACAGAGUUCUCCUAACGGUUCUGUAACGGCGUCGACUCAGUUAGGAUAGUUGAUGUUUGGUUAAGGUAACGUCAAUGAGAUUUCAAACCCUUGGCUGCGUUUCGGAUGUUUUGAGUUCAGUCGAGAGUCCGGAGCUAAGGUAAAAUACUGAACUAUGUAUGUAGAAGGUCUAUUGGUUUUCACUUCGGACCGGGGUUCGAAUCCCCGCACCUCCACAA